GCCAAUGAUGAUUUAGUGGACUGAGUGUGCAAGUUGAAUUGUUGCACUAUGUUGAAAUAACUUUACUAGGACGGUCUGAGGC